rnacentral:rRNA from 1 species
AACGCUGGCGGCGUGCUUAACACAUGCAAGUCGAACGAUGAACCUCCUUCGGGAGGGGAUUAGUGGCGAACGGGUGAGUAACACGUGGGCAAUCUGCCCUUCACUCUGGGACAAGCCCUGGAAACGGGGUCUAAUACCGGAUAACACUGCGGAUCGCAUGGUCUGCGGUUAAAAGCUCCGGCGGUGAAGGAUGAGCCCGCGGCCUAUCAGCUUGUUGGUGGGGUGAUGGCCUACCAAGGCGACGACGGGUAGCCGGCCUGAGAGGGCGACCGGCCACACUGGGACUGAGACACGGCCCAGACUCCUACGGGAGGCAGCAGUGGGGAAUAUUGCACAAUGGGCGAAAGCCUGAUGCAGCGACGCCGCGUGAGGGAUGACGGCCUUCGGGUUGUAAACCUCUUUCAGCAGGGAAGAAGCGAAAGUGACGGUACCUGCAGAAGAAGCGCCGGCUAACUACGUGCCAGCAGCCGCGGUAAUACGUAGGGCGCAAGCGUUGUCCGGAAUUAUUGGGCGUAAAGAGCUCGUAGGCGGCUUGUCACGUCGGAUGUGAAAGCCCGGGGCUUAACCCCGGGUCUGCAUUCGAUACGGGCAGGCUAGAGU